GAUGAACGCUGGCGGCGUGCCUAAUACAUGCAAGUCGAGCGAACAGACGAGGAUCUUGCUCCUCUGACGUUAGCGGCGGACGGGUGAGUAACACGUGGAUAACCUACCUAUAAGACUGGGAUAACUUCGGGAAACCGGAGCUAAUACCGGAUAAUAUAUUGAACCGCAUGGUUCUAUAGUGAAAGACGGUUUUGCUGUCACUUAUAGAUGGAUCCGCGCCGCAUUAGCUAGUUGGUAAGGUAACGGCUUACCAAGGCAACGAUGCGUAGCCGACCUGAGAGGGUGAUCGGCCACACUGGAGCUGAGACGCGGCACAGGCUCCUACGGGAGGCAGCAGUAGGGAAUCGAGCGCAAUGGGCGGAAGCCUGCCGGAGCAACGCCGCGUGAGUGAUGAAGGUCUUCGGAUCGUAAAACUCUGUUCUUAGGGAAGAACAAAUGUGUAAGUAACUAUGCACGUCUUGACGGUACCUAAUCAGAAAGCCACGGCUAACUACGUG
rnacentral:rRNA from 1 species